rnacentral:rRNA from 1 species
GACGAACGCUGGCGGCGUGCUUAACACAUGCAAGUCGAACGAAGUGGCGAACGGGUGAGUAACGCGUAAUCAACCUGCCCUUCAGAGGGGGACAACAGUUGGAAACGACUGCUAAUACCGCAUACUGAAGGAGGGGAUUGCGUCUGAUUAGCUAGUUGGAGGGGUAACGGCCCACCUAGGCGAUGCUCAGUAGGCGGUCUGAGAGGAUUGACGGCUACAUUGGGACUGAGACACGGCUCAGGCUCCUACGGGAGGCAGCAGUGGGGAAUCUUCCGCAAGGGACGAAAGUCUGACGGAGCAACGCCGCGUGAGUGAUGACGGCCUUCGGGUUGUAAAGCUCUGUUAAUCGGGACGCGGUACCGGAAUAGAAAGCCACGGCUAACUACGUGCCAGCCGCCGCGGUAAUUC